UUAAGAUAUGGUGAUAUGAUACCGUCUACAGUGUUGGGCAAAAUUAUUGGCAGUGUUUGUUCAUUAUGCGGUGUCCUAGUUAUCGCUUUGCCUGUACCUGUAAUUGUAUCGAAU
rfam:Trichobilharzia regenti genome assembly, scaffold: TRE_scaffold0000545